rfam:Volvox carteri f. nagariensis unplaced genomic scaffold VOLCAscaffold_378, whole genome shotgun sequence.
GACGAGGUGGCCGAGCGGUCUAAGGCGCUAGAUUCAGGACUACCUGGUUCAGACCAGGAUGAGAAAUUUCUAGUCCGUAAGGGCGUGGGUUCAAAUCCCACCCUCGUCA